rnacentral:rRNA from 1 species
GACGAACGCUGGCGGCGUGCCUAAUACAUGCAAGUCGAACGCAGUUGGGACGGGUGAGUAACACGUGGGUAACCUCCCAUCAGAGGGGAUAACACUUUGAAACAGGUGCUAAACCGAUACUGAUGGAUGGACCCGCGGUGCAUUAGCUAGUUGGUGAGGUAACGGCUCACCAAGGCCACGAUGCAUAGCCGGCCUGAGAGGAUGAUCGGCCACACUGGGACUGAGACACGGUCCAGACUCCUACGGGAGGCAGCAGUAGGGAAUAUUCGGCAAUGGACGAAAGUCUGACCGAGCAAAGCCGCGUGAGUGAAGAAGGUUUUCGGAUCGUAAAACUCUGUUGUUAGAGAAGCGGUAUCUAACCAGAAAGCAACGGCUAACUACGUGCCAGCAGCCGCGGUAAUUC